GCGGGGCGCGGGUGUUUGGGUCGCUGGGAUUAGCCCGUUGGCAGCCCUCGGCCGACUUGCCCCCUCCCCCCGCGCUGAAGGCACGAACAGCUCCCGGGAGCCCGGCCCGCGCCGGGGCCCUAGGAACCCAUCGGCUCCGCUCCGCGUCCCCGGGGGGCCGGAAAGCGGCAACCCCCCGCCAGCGGCUCCGCCGGAAGCGGCGCCAUGGCGCACAGCGAGACGGAGCCGCCGGAGGAGGAGACCCUGCGCCGCUGGGAACGGGAGCAGGCCCAGCUAAAGGCGAAUGUGAUUGAGGAGGACACUGAGGAGUGGCAGAAAGAUUCCACCUUUGCCGGACUGGAGAGAGUGGGAGGGGUGGACCUCUCUUAUGCCAAAGGGAACGACACAAUCGCUUGCGCUUCCCUGGUGGUUCUCAGCUACCCAGAUCUUGAGGUGCUAUAUGAGGACUGUCAGAUGGUAACCGUGAGCGCCCCCUACGUGGCAGGAUACUUAGCUUUUCGAGAGGCCCCUUUCCUGGUGGAAGCUGCUCAGAGACUUCAGGAGCGAGAGCCUGGGCUCAGGCCUCAGGUGCUGCUCGUAGAUGGGAAUGGCGUGCUCCAUCACAGAGGGUUUGGGGUGGCCUGCCACCUGGGGGUGCUGACGGGCCUGCCCUGUAUUGGUGUGGCCAAAAACCUCCUGCAGGUUGAUGGCCUGGCCAAGGAUGAGCUGCACAAGGAGCAGAUCCGUGACCUGCAGAUGGGAGGAGCCAUGUUCCCUCUGAGGGGCACCUCAGGGAGAGUCCUGGGCAUGCCCCAGAUCUCUGAUCUGUCCGGUGUCCAACCCUCCAGGCCCUGCGCAGCUACAACAAGAGCACGAAGCCCAUCUACGUCUCCGUAGGCCACAGGACGUGCCUGGAGUCGGCAGUGCGCCUGGUCCAGUCCUGCUGCUGACAUCAGAUCCAGAGAGUACAUCCGGAAGCACCUGUCCUCCCCACUGGGGGGCACGUCUCCUGGGCCAGGGAGGAAGGAAGAAGCUGAGCCCAAGCAUUAAUUUGGCACCAGGAAGACACUGUCCAGCCCCAGUGUGAACUUGAGCCUUCCACCCCCUCUGGGAUCAGAGCUCUGAGACCUCCUUUCCAGCAAGCCUCUACAGGGCACCGUGACUAACCGUCCAUGCCAGGAACUCAGGGUAAUUCAUGGGGUGAAAAGCCAGGAUGACCAGAGAGAAACCAGGAGACUGUGUCCCCCUGGGCUCUGCUAAUGGGGCAGGAGCCCCAGCCUUUGAUGGUUUGUAAAUUCUAGAGAAUAUUUUAUAUUCCAAUUUUGAAAACACACGCUGUAAAAAUAAAUUCUCACCAGCACUCGUACACUAA